rnacentral:rRNA from 1 species
UCUGCAACCCGACUCCAUGAAGCUGGAUUCGCUAGUAAUCGCGCAUCAGCCACGGCGCGGUGAAUACGUUCCCGGGCCUUGUACACACCGCCCGUCAAGCCAUGGAAGCCGGGGGUGCCUGAAGUGCGCUGCCGCAAGGAGCGUCCUAGGGUAAAACCGGUGACUGGGGCUAAGUCGUAACAAGGUAUC